rnacentral:rRNA from 1 species
CAGCAGCCGCGGUAAUACGUAGGUGGCAAGCGUUGUCCGGAAUUAUUGGGCGUAAAGGGCUCGCAGGCGGUUUCUUAAGUCUGAUGUGAAAGCCCCCGGCUCAACCGGGGAGGGUCAUUGGAAACUGGGAAACUUGAGUGCAGAAGAGGAGAGUGGAAUUCCACGUGUAGCGGUGAAAUGCGUAGAGAUGUGGAGGAACACCAGUGGUGAAGGCGACUCUCUGGUCUGUAACUGACGCUGAGGAGCGAAAGCGUGGGGAGCGAACAGAAUUAGAUACCCCCGUAGUCCCUGUCUCUUAUAC